UCCAGCCAGUAAGAGUAAGCAAUGCUAUUUACACAAUGGAAAGUGAACUGUUCAGCACCAGCUGGUUGCUCCAUUUUCUGAAAAAUUAAAAUUAAAAUAUUAAACUGAGUGAACAUUCGAAUUUUUCUUUAUAAUCAUAACUCAUUUUCGUUUUAGGGAUGAUUCCUAUGGUACUUAUAUUGGAGUUAAGUAUAACUGGAGUUAACUUGAAGUUAAGAUUCUAACAAGUGCAAAAUAUAAGCAAGGAUCAAUUAGAGGCUUUUGGCAUCUUAAACUGUUAAAAAUAAGGAGCUAUGCAACAAGUUAAUGGGCCAAAGCAUAUUAUGUGGAUCAUUUAUCCCAUUAUGAGAGACAAUUCAACACAAAAAAGAGUUUCAGUAUCAGAAGACAUGAAGAAAGGGAUACUGCAGUACUUCUAAGUAAUAAGCUAUGAAACAAGUUAACCAGGCAAAACGGAUCAUUUAUCAGAUGAGAGAUCAUUCAACACAAACGGAAGUAACACAUCAGUAUCGAUAAUGAAGAAAUAAAGAAAGUUGGUUCUAAAUACUGGAGUAGAUCUAAAUAAUCAGGUAAA
rnacentral:lncRNA from 1 species